CGCGGAGUCACUCAGGGCAGGGCAGAGCUGAGGCUCCAGCCAGGGCACGCCCCUGCCGCCGUCGGGCUGCUCUGCCGUGGCUUCACCCCGCGGCUCCUUGCCUUCGUCCCCCCAUGCAUCCAUCCUCAUGCCCUGCGUGCAUCCCCAAUCCCCCGCACGCCUCACUUCUGCCGGGCUUUGUGAAAGAGUGGACAGACUUUUUCAAGAUCAGCUGACAGCAGGCAAUUGGAUUCUUAGUUCACUGCAUCCAGAGGCCAGGCAUGCUGUCCUGCAGAUGCUCAACCAGUUUUGCUAAUAUUUCAUUUCCAAAUGGAAGCAACAUCUUGACCAGCACUGGAUCAAAAACCUGCAGCAUCCCUGAUGGCCAGUUCAGCUGGUGGGCAGCGUGCUGCAUCCAGAUGAUCAUGUCACACAGAGCAGUACAUUUUAUGGAUGUAUUUGCUGUCCGUAACUGCUCAGUGAAAAGGCUGUGAAUACUCGAGCUGGAGAGUUGUUUGUGAGCUUCUGUGUGGCUGGGCUGACCUGUCUCCGGGUAAGAGAAGGGAGCAGACAGGCAUGGAGCAGUCUGACCCCAUUUACACUGGAAGCCGUGGAGUAACCAUGGUCCCUUCUGUCUCACAAGUGCCCUGAUUUGUCAGAGCAGCAGCCACUGUGAAUAUUGUUGUAGGCAAAGCCCCGCACCCACGAAUGUUUGCACAAAUGGGCCAAGAAAAGAUGACACAUAGUUGAAGAUAUCAUCUCAAGUGAACAUUUUGCAGCACUAGGUCAGGUCAAUUGCUCAUCCACCGUCAAUUUAUGCUGUGGGAGAGAUUUCAGUCAAAUGAAAAUCCCAGAUUCAUUUUACAAUAUUCACAGUCAUUCUGUAAAGGCAGAGCUAAGACCUUCCACGAGUUUGAACAGUCCUUACCAAAUCAUCUAGAUUUUCUCCAGGUGUCACAUUUUUCUAGCAGUUUACCCAUCUAGUGUGGCAUUUUUUAUUUUUAAGAUGAGUUUCAGUGCUGGUUGGGCAAGAUUUAACCACAUCAUUGGGUCUGGAGGCUCUUGGUAUUAUAGAAGCAUAAGCAAUUCUGUAUUUGUCUAUUGUAAAAGAAAAGAACUUUGCUUGAAGCAGUGAAUCAGCACUAGUUUACACCAGGGAAACAUUUCCAGUAUAUAUCACAACAUCAUCCAGCUUAUUUUGUGUUUCUUUUAUGGACAUGUCAUAAGUCUUGAUUACUGGAAUAUGGUCUACUGUAAAGAGCAUUUCCCAUCAAGGAGGUUGUUGUGCUCCAGGAGAUAAAGAAAAUACAGCUUGUGAUGGCUGCUACAUCCACUUUUAUCACUGGAAACAACCAGAAACCAUCAAGGAUACUUCUGUGACCUGUGUCAUGCUGUUGAAUUAAAAAAAAAAAAUUAAAAAAGGGUGCA
rnacentral:lncRNA from 1 species